rnacentral:rRNA from 1 species
AGUGAACGCUGGCGGUAGGCCUAUCACAUGCAAGUCGAACGGCAGCACAGUAAGAGCUUGCUCUUACGGGUGGCGAGUGGCGGACGGGUGAGGAAUACAUCGGAAUCUACUUUUUCGUGGGGGAUAACGUAGGGAAACUUACGCUAAUACCGCAUACGACCUACGGGUGAAAGCAGGGGAUCUUCGGACCUUGCGCGAUUGAAUGAGCCGAUGUCGGAUUAGCUAGUUGGCGGGGUAAAGGCCCACCAAGGCGACGAUCCGUAGCUGGUCUGAGAGGAUGAUCAGCCAAACUGGAACUGAGACACGGUCCAGACUCCUACGGGAGGCAGCAGUGGGGAAUAUUGGACAAUGGGCGCAAGCCUGAUCCAGCCAUACCGCGUGGGUGAAGAAGGCCUUCGGGUUGUAAAGCCCUUUUGUUGGGAAAGAAAAGCAGCAGGUUAAUACCCCGCUGUUCUGACGGUACCCAAAGAAUAAGCACCGCCUAACUUCGUG